GUCCACGCCCUAAACUAUGUCAACUGGUUGUCGGGGAAGCAAUUCCUUGGUAACGAAGCUAACGCGUGAAGUUGACCGCCUGGGGAGUACGGCCGCAAGGUUAAAACUCAAAGGAAUUGACGGGGACCCGCACAAGCGGUGGAUUAUGUGGAUUAAUUCGAUGCAACGCGAAAAACCUUACCUACCCUUGACAUGUACGGAACCUAGCAGAGAUGUGAGGGUGCUCGAAAGAGAACCGUAACACAGGUGCUGCAUGGCUGUCGU
rnacentral:rRNA from 1 species